UACGAAGGGAGCUAGCGUUGUUCGGAAUUACUGGGCGUAAAGGGCGCGUAGGCGGUUUAGUAAGUCAGAUGUGAAAGCCCCGGGCUUAACCUGGGAACAGCAUUUGAUACUGCUAGACUAGAGAUCGAAAGAGGAGAGUGGAAUUGCGAGUGUAGAGGUGAAAUUCGUAGAUAUUCGCAGGAACACCAGUGGCGAAGGCGACUCUCUGGUUCGAUACUGACGCUAAGGCGCGACAGCGUGGGGAGCAUACAGG
rnacentral:rRNA from 1 species